rnacentral:rRNA from 1 species
UACGUAGGGGGCAAGCGUUGUCCGGAUUUAUUGGGCGUAAAGAGCGUGUAGGCGGCCUGAAAGGUCAGCUGUGAAAACUCGAGGCUCAACCUCGAGACGUCGGUUGAAACCAUCUGGCUAGAGUCCGGAAGAGGAGAGUGGAAUUCCCGGUGUAGCGGUGAAAUGCGCAGAUAUCAGGAGGAACACCGGUGGCGAAGGCGGGUCUCUGGGCCGUUACUGACGCUGAGGAGCGAAAGCGUGGGGAGCGAACAGG